GAAGGAAGUAAAAAAGAAAGAAAAGAUAUGAUCAAGAGAUGGAGGAUAAUUGCAGAAAUGUUUUUGCUGAUUGUCUUUUUAAAAACAUCUUAGUUUCAGUUUUUUUUAAUAG
rnacentral:ribozyme from 1 species